AGAAAAGGAUCUUAGAAGUAGCAGAAAGUACUUGCUUCUUUCACUUGGAAAGUUCACCUGCCCAAAUACAAUUCUCUAAGUACAUCUUAAAUCAAAACCCCAGUGCUCCUUUCAGAUUUCAAUAUGCACCAAUGCAACUGCCCAUUCCCACUUUAGUUCGAGGAGUUCAUCUCCUCAUACUCCCUGCACAUUGAAGGCAUGUUAACUAUGUAUGAGCCUCUCUUGUAAAUGAAUAUUAAUAUACAUAAUUAUGCUUACCUUUGGAUCCAUCUGGUAGAAAAAGACCUUAUGUUCCUACCAGUACUUAGUGAUUGCUGCUGAGGAGCUCUAUGUAUAACCUCAGCUCUUGGACAAUUAAUGCAAAGCAAUGCCAGUUAUCAAGACUACUGGACAUUCAACAGGACCCCUGUACUCUCUUUGUCUAACUAAAGCCCCCUAUAUUGUAAUGUGAAUAUUUGCAAUGAAGGCAUGCCAAAGAUAAUGUGUCCUCCACACACUUCUCUGCACUACUGCAGGUGCUGCAGACCUCCCUACAGCCUCUCCUGAGACUGUUCAGUAGUAAUUAUAAAUGGCUUUUAUUUGUCCCUUAAAACUUACCUUGGGACUGACUACUAAUAAGCACAAUGACAAUCAUCAAUGGUCUUUUAUCCUCCUAGAUCUUGUUAAGCAAGCUUCCCAUUCUAGUUUCCCAUGACUCAAUAAAAUAUAAACACUACAGUGUUGCAUGGACUUCUGCAUCAAACAAUGCCCUGUAUUUCUAGUCUUUCUGCAUUGCUUUGGUGCCUAAAAUCCCUGAGUUGUCAUGCUCUCAUGCUUUCCACAAAGUCCUCUUCCUGCCCUUCUGCCCCCUGGACCCUUCUGACCAACUAUGAAGGCACACAAUCCAGGAUUGUGCUCUCAUUUCCUUUGCCCUGCCCCUUUGCUGGGCAAGGCCCUUUCCCAUGGCCUUAAAAACUUAACAAUCCUAAGCUUCAUUGCUUUGUACAGCCGGAAUGCUUCAGUUGUACUUUCCUUGGUCCCAUCUGGUAGACACAACCCCUCCACUUCCUUUGCAUUACUUCUGACUAAUGCCAAGUACCCCAAGCUCCACUAGUGUCCUUAAUGGACACAAUACUGUCUGACAUUUCAGCCCCAGCCCCAAAUCUCCCUGCCACGUUGAGUUUGUGCAGUGCUGACCAUCAAAGCAGCAGGCUGGAACUAGGUAGAUAAGCCUUCGUCCUUCCUACAUCUAUUAAUUAUCCCAGUUUCAAUUACUGCCACAUUACUGCAGAUGCUGCUGCACCUGCCCAACUUUAAUACUGCUUUAGCAAGCAAAAUAUUUAAUGCAAGUCAAGCUCAGGGAGCCCCUUUAUUUAGGGCUUCCUUUACACAGUAUCAACUGACAAUCGUCUCCCAGGGGAGGAAGGUUCGUACUUGGUUUAUAUGCUUCCUUCCAGAGCUGAUUUGCCUGGUUAAAAACCUCAACUCUUCUCUUUUGUAUAUUGCUAUCAUACAGUGCCAAUUGCCAGGAUGCAACCAGAAAAGCUGCUGUUCACUUGGCAUUUGGAUUACAAAAUGGGCUGAUCAUCUGGUCAUUAAUUUAUUGAUGCCAAACAAUGUAUUUAUACUAGGUAUCAGAUGCAUUUAUCUGGUACAAUUAUCUGAUCAUAUAUCUGAUGACCAGUGUCUCAUUUUACCGAGGUGGUGGAUCUGUGGAUAGAACACUGUGACUCUUGCUGACUUCAGUAUUUCCAAAGGUGCUCAAGUGGACUAAUAAGCUCAGUCUCUUUGGCUGUACUAGUAUUGGAAAACUAGUGUUUGUUUGGGCAUUGUUGUGAUUUACUUCUAGGAAAACUAGUUAUGCUUUGCUUGGAGUACUAGUCCCUUAUUAUAAAAUGAGAGACCAUAAUGCUAAGGUGCUUUUUGUCCAUAAUUGGAAGUAACUAAAGAACCAUCAGCCUGAAGUGUUCAGGGUGUUUCAUGGCCACUGAGAAUUUAAUAGGAAACUGCUGAAACAAAUGAUUCAGCCAUCACAACUGCAGUUUGUCACCACUGAACAAUAAUACUCCUCCUCUGAGAAGGAUAUAAAAACAUCCACCCAGCUCCAGGUCCAGCUGUAAGAAGCUAUAAGAAGAAUCCUCAGAAAGUUCUAAGACUCUCUGGCUUUUUAGAAUACCAUGUUCCCUAGAAAAACUUCGUUGCUUUGCAGUGUUAGUGACCUCUUCCCUUUGAGGAUCGCUAGGUGGAGAUGGGGCAUGAGGAUCCUCCAAGGGAAAAGCUCAUUAUCACUCAGCAACAAUACUAGGUCAACAGGUUUUACUAAUGUACGUUCCUGGGUCCAAAUAGGAAGAUGAAGACUCACAGAUACACACAUCAAGAUGGCUCCAUCUGCUGCUGAAUCAUUAUCCUUCUCAAAGGCAGUACAGAAAGUGGAAUCUUCAGCAUGAUCAAAAACUGUGAACACGACAGGACACUGGCUUGCCUAUCUGAACGUCAACAUGCCUGGCAUACUACCAUUUUAAAAUAACAGAAUGGAGUCUCUCACUGUAUUUUGUUCCUUGUGAUUUUCCUCCUGCGAUAGUCAAUCCUGUUGCUUCUUCUCCCCCCCCCACCAUGUAAUUCUCUGUCUGUUUCUUGAUUGAGUGAUCUUUUAAUCUUUAAAGAAUGUCAUACCCAUUUCCAUAUUUCUCUUGCUAAUGUCUUUAUGUCUAUAUGUGCCUUUUUCUGACUUGUGCCUUUUCUGCUUUUGUUCCUAAGUGUGAUGUACUUUGUCUUACAUGUAUGUUACUUUUGUCAUUUGUUGCCACUCCUUGGUUCUUCUCUUUCUGGCUUCUCUUUCUUAUCUUUUGUGUGCUUAUUGUGCCUGCCCUCAUUUCUUUUUCUCUUUGU